UACUCCAGCAGCCGCUGAAAAACUCAAAAUUCUCCUCAUUUUAAGCAACGGUCCACAUGGAUACUGUUGAUGCAGCUAAUGCAGAUCUUAGAUCUCUUUCC